rnacentral:rRNA from 1 species
UACGGAGGGUGCAAGCGUUAAUCGGAAUUACUGGGCGUAAAGCGCACGCAGGUGGCUGAGUCAGUCGAUUGUGAAAGCCCUGGGCUUAACCUGGGAAUUGCAGUCGAUACUACUUAGCUAGAGUAUGGGAGAGGGCAGUGGAAUUCCCGGUGUAGCGGUGAAAUGCGUAGAUAUCGGGAGGAACAUCAGUGGCGAAGGCGGCUGCCUGGCCCAAUACUGACACUCAGGUGCGACAGCGUGGGGAGCAAACAGG